UACGGGGGGUGCGAGCGUUGUCCGGAAUCACUGGGCGUAAAGGGCGCGUAGGCGGGCAUUCAAGUCUGUGGUGAAAUCCUCCAGCUCAACUGGAGAACUGCCAUGGAUACUGGGUGUCUCGAGGGUGGUAGGGGUAUGCGGAACUAUCGGUGGAGCGGUGAAAUGCGUUGAUAUCGAUAGGAACUCCGGUGGCGAAGGCGGCAUACUGGACCACAUCUGACGCUGGAGGCGCGGAAAAGCCCAGGGGGAGCGAACGGGG
rnacentral:rRNA from 1 species